CUCUCCCUCUGGUUGUGGGAAGGAUGAGGUAGCCUCCAGUGUGCUUCUUCUCCCUCCGUGGGCUGUGUUUAUCCAAGUAUUUUAAGCUUCUAUUAUUCUGAGCCCAUUACUCCACAGGGUGAUUAAGAUUUCUCUUGGCCAGAGAAGAGAAGACAAUGUGUUUGCUGCGUCCAGGACUGUUGCUUUUCCCAAGCAGCCUUCAAAGGGGAAAAAAGAAAAACCGUAAACACUAGGCACACAAAAUAUACACUUGCUGCACGGCAGGAGUCUGCAGAGUCUCGUGCCCUUCACCUUGGCCUGGACUACAAGCAGCUGGGACAGGAUGGGGGAGGCGGGAUGACGGAGGCUCUCCAAUUCCUGUGUUCUUCUUCUCACUUGUGCCUGCUUUAAUCCGCUCCAUCUCUACCCAUCCAGGCCAGUCAGCCAUAUCAUUUCUGUUGCUUGACAGUUUUUUGUUUCUCUCUCUCUCUCUCUCUCUCUCUCUCUCUCUCUCUCUCUCUCUCCUCUCUCUCUCUCUCUCUCUCUCUCUCUCUCUCUCUCUCUCUCUCUCUCUCUGUGAAUAUGUAGACCAGGAUGGCCUCGAACUCACAGUGGCAUAAACUGCCUCUGCCGCUCCCUUUCCCUGCUCUCAGAAUGCUGUCAUUAAAACCUGGAGGAGCUGCCGAGCUUCCUUAGCCUACAGCCCCGAGGGCAAGAGCUUUAACCUCAGAGACAUUCUGAGUCCUUAUCUGCCAAAUGGGAGCUUUAGUCCCACCUCCUGGGGCCUCUCGGAGAACGCUGCUGGAACUUGGCUAAGUAGUGGCUUCCUUCUUCCUUCCUGGCUCCCUUUGAUGAAUUCUCUUUCACUUCCCUGCUUCACUUAGCACCUCUCUCCCCCUCUCUUUCUCCCUUUCUCGUUUUCCGAGAAGAAACCAACCCCUCACCGCCGCCGCCACCCCGCCCCCAGCCCCCAGGCCAGAGCUGAGCCACAAGCCCUCAGUCUCUAGGCAGUCGGCUGACUGCCUCAGCAGAGCUGAUAGACACCCAGUGCCCCCAGCUAUUCCCCGCUGUUUUGAUGAACGCCUAACCUUCUCUCCCUAUCUCUCCAGCCCGGCUACUUCUAGCCCUGGAGAUUCAUUCCUCUGAUCACCCUACCCGGACAGCGCACCGCUGCCCUCAAGCUGGCUGGAGUGUUUUGAAGCAAGCAGCUGAUCGUUAGCAUCGCUCUGGCCUAUCUCCCAGACACACAGCCGAUGAGAUUAAAGAAAGGGGCGUGUGACCUCGCUCGCUCGCAAGCCAAAGAUUCCUGUGUUCCGCCCUGGGCCCUGGAGGAAAGCGGUAUUGUUCUAAAGAUAAAGUUACUAGUUGUAUAAA